rnacentral:rRNA from 1 species
GUAGGGAGCAAGCGUUGUCCGGAUUUACUGGGUGUAAAGGGUGCGUAGGCGGCUUUGCAAGUCAGAUGUGAAAUCUAUGGGCUCAACCCAUAAACUGCAUUUGAAACUGUAGAGCUUGAGUGAAGUAGAGGCAGGCGGAAUUCCCCGUGUAGCGGUGAAAUGCGUAGAGAUGGGGAGGAACACCAGUGGCGAAGGCGGCCUGCUGGGCUUUAACUGACGCUGAGGCACGAAAGCGUGGGUAGCAAACAGGAUUAGAUACCCUGGUAGUCCACGCUGUAAACGAUGAUUACUAGGUGUGGGGGGUCUGACCCCUUCCGUGCCGGAGCUAACACAAUAAGUAAUCCACCUGGGGAGUACGGCCGCAAGGUUG